rnacentral:rRNA from 1 species
AACGAACGCUGGCGGCAUGCUUAAUACAUGCAAGUCGAGCGGGCACUUCGGUGUCAGCGGCGCACGGGUGCGUAACGCGUGGGAACAUGCCUUUAGGUACGGAACAACCAAGGGAAACUUUGGCUAAUACCGUAUAAUAUCUCUGGAUCAAAGAUUUAUCGCCUAAAGAUUGGCCCGCGUUAGAUUAGGUAGUUGGUGGGGUAAUGGCCUACCAAGCCGACGAUCUAUAGGGGGUCUGAGAGGAUGAUCCCCCACACUGGAACUGAGACACGGUCCAGACUCCUACGGGAGGCAGCAGUAAGGAAUAUUGGACAAUGGGCGAAAGCCUGAUCCAGCCAUGCCGCGUGAGUGAUGAAGGCCUUAGGGUUGUAAAGCUCUUUUAGAUGGGAAGAUAAUGACGGUACCAUCAGAAUAAGCCCCGGCUAAAUUCGUG